rnacentral:rRNA from 1 species
UGGGGAAUAUUGCACAAUGGGCGCAAGCCUGAUGCAGCCAUGCCGCGUGUAUGAAGAAGGCCUUCGGGUUGUAAAGUACUUUCAGCGGGGAGGAAGGUGUUGAGGUUAAUAACCUCAGCAAUUGACGUUACCCGCAGAAGAAGCACCGGCUAACUCCGUGCCAGCAGCCGCGGUAAUACGGAGGGGGCAAGCGUUAAUCGGAAUUACUGGGCGUAAAGCGCACGCAGGCGGUCUGUCAAGUCGGAUGUGAAAUCCCCGGGCUCAACCUGGGAACUGCAUUCGAAACUGGCAGGCUAGAGUCUUGUAGAGGGGGGUAGAAUUCCAGGUGCAGCGGUGAAAUGCGUAGAGAUCUGGAGGAAUACCGGUGGCGAAGGCGGCCCCCUGGACAAAGACUGACGCUCAGGUGCGAAAGCGUGGGGAGCAAACA